UAUGAAUUGAAUACAUAAGCGAAAUAAUAAAUUAGGGUUUAUAUUCCUUACACAAUAAUUUAGGAUACCCAAUAGGGCUACGGGAAUGACCAUUCUAAAGGAACAACUAAUAAUCAAAAAAAUAAAUGAAAAUUAAACAAACUGAACGUCCUAUUCGUAGCGCUCUUGUGGAUCGGGCUCUGGAUUUUGGUUCUCUUAAUCUGAAAUGGUUAAUGAAAGAGUAAGCUACACUAGCCUUGUAAGAAUAU
rnacentral:lncRNA from 1 species